AAUAUUGCACAAUGGGCGCAAGCCUGAUGCAGCAACGCCGCGUGCCCGAGGACGGCCUUCGGGUUGUAAAGGGCUUUUCUGGCUGACGAGGAAGGACGGUAGGCCAGGAAUAAGCGUCGGCUAACUAUGUGCCAGCAGCCGUGGUAAAACGUCGGACGCGAGCGUUAUCCGGAUUUCCUGGGCGUAAAGCGCGGGCAGGCGGUGGUCCAAGUCGGACGUGAAAUCUCCCGGCUCAACUGGGAGGGGACGUUCAAAACUGUGCGGCUCGAGGGCGGUAGAGGAAGGUAGAAUUCCCGGUGUAGUGGUGAAAUGCGUAGAUAUCGGGAGGAAUACCCGUGGCGAAGGCGACCUUCUGGACCGUUUCUGACGCUCAGAUGCGAAAGCUAGGGGAGCGAACGGG
rnacentral:rRNA from 1 species